CCUACGGGUGGCAGCAGUGAGGAAUAUUGGUCAAUGGGCGAGAGCCUGAACCAGCCAAGUCGCGUGAAGGAUGAAGGAUCUAUGGUUUGUAAACUUCUUUUAUAUGGGAAUAAAGUGAGGAACGUGUUCCUUUUUGUAUGUACCAUAUGAAUAAGCAUCGGCUAACUCCGUGCCAGCAGCCGCGGUAAUACGGAGGAUGCGAGCGUUAUCCGGAUUUAUUGGGUUAAAAGGGUGCGUAGGUGGUUAAUUAAGUCAGCGGUAAAAUCGCGGGGCCCAACCCCGCUCGGCCGUUGAAUCUGUGUGCCUUGAGGGCGCGAAGGGUAGGCGGAAUGCGUGGUGUAGCGGUGAAAUGCAUAGAUAUCACGCAGAACUCCGAUCGCGAAGGCAGCCUACUGGCGCGCAACUGACGCUCAUGCACGAAAGCGUGGGUAUCGAACAGGAUUAGAUACCCGAGUAGUC
rnacentral:rRNA from 1 species